AAAGAUUAAGCCAUGCAUGUCUCAGUGCAAGCCAAAUUAAGGUGAAACCGCGAAAGGCUCAUUAAAUCAGCUGUGGUUCCUUAGAUGGUACGUACGGUUACUUGGAUAACUGUGGCAAUUCUAGAGCUAAUACAUGCAAACAGAGUUCCGACCGCUCGUCGUCCGGAAGGAAUGCUUUUAUUAGAUUAAAACCAAUCGGACUCUCCGCGGGCCGUCACGCCUUGGUGACUCUGAAUAACUUCGAGCUGAUCGCACGGUCCUGCACCGGCGACGCAUCUUUCAAAUGUCUGACUUAUCACUUUCGAUGGUAGGCUCUGCGCCUACCAUGGUCGUAACGGGUAACGGGGAAUCAGGGUUCGAUUCCGGAGAGGGAGCCUGAGAAACGGCUACCACAUCCAAGGAAGGCAGCAGGCGCGCAAAUUACCCACUCCCGGCACGGGGAGGUAGUGACGAAAAAUAACGAUGCAGAACUCUUUCCGAGGCUCUGCAAUCGGAAUGAGUACACCCUAAAUCAUUUAACGAGUAUCCAUUGGAGGGCAAGUCUGGUGCCAGCAG
rnacentral:rRNA from 1 species